UCAAAGCCUACAAGACGGGCAACAUGGACCA
rnacentral:piRNA from 1 species